ACAGAGGGGGCAAGCGUUGUUCGGAAUUACUGGGCGUAAAGGGCGCGUAGGCGGCCUGCUAAGUCGAACGUGAAAUCCCCGGGCUCAACCCGGGAACUGCGUCCGAUACUGGCAGGCUUGAAUCCGGGAGAGGGAUGCGGAAUUCCAGGUGUAGCGGUGAAAUGCGUAGAUAUCGGGAGGAAUACCGAUGGCGAAGGCAGGUCUCUGGGCUGACACUGACGCUCAUGCACGAAAGCGUGGGGAGCAAACAGGA
rnacentral:rRNA from 1 species